UCCUGCCCCUCAGGGCUCUGGCUGCUCUCUGCUCAGUCUCUGAAGGCCAGGAUGAGCUCCCCAUGGCAGCUGCUCUGGCUCCUGGUGCUCUGGGCUCAGGAUUCCCAAGGAGCCAUUGUGCUGACCCAGUCUCCAGCCUCCUUGUCUGCAUCUCCAGGAGAGAGAGUCACCAUCCGCUGCAAGGCCAGUGAGAGUGUGUCUCUUUUUGGUACUAGCUUCUUGCACUGGUACCAGCAGAAACCUGGCCAAGCCCCCAGGCUCCUCAUCUAUGAUACUAACAGCCUGGCAUCCGGGGUCCCUGCCCGGUUCAGUGGCCGUGGGUCUGGGACAGAUUUCACUCUCACCAUCAGCAGCCUGGAGCCUGAGGAUGCUGCACAUUAUUACUGUCAGCAGUCUAGGAGCUCCCCUCUCCCACAGUGCUUCAGGCCCGAACAAAAACCUCCCCAGUGCAUCCAGGGGACUCAGCUCAGAGCAGCAGGAGAUCCCUUGGAGCAGAGGAUCCAGGUAGAGAUCCAGCAGAGACGGCAGUGA